GGAGUUGCAGCUGCACUAAUCACCAAAGAUUAGGAACAGACCUGCCCUUAACAGGCCACAGCUGCGUCCAAUAAGGAGACGAGUGCUACAAAAACGUGGCGUAGCUGGGUGGGGAGAGGGUUGGAGUUUGUUGGUUGUGCUGUGAGGAAGAAGGAGUUAGUACUGCAAGGAGUGUCAUAGGAAGCUGAAGGUAUGGGAGCUUUGCAAUAAGAUGGCAACGUUUUCGUUCCUGCUUUCCUGGUCAAAUCUGGCCUAUUUCAAAUUUAUCGGUUGUGUUUAUCUUUUGACAGCCCUAUGUAUUUUUCAUUUUUAAAGUUUCUUAAUUUCAGAAUUAUUGCUGUAUAUAUUUAGAUUCUAUGAGAAUUUAUUGAUCAUUUUUAUGUUCUGGAAAUCAGAUUUUCAAAGAAAUUUUGGCUUUGGAAGCAUAAUUGUCUUUGUUAAUGCCCAUAAGAGACACUGUUCCAUCAGACAUCCAACAGGUUUUCAAUCUGAAAGCCUCAUUUAUUUUAGUAAGAGUGAAAAACAACACCUCCGAAAUUGAUGUAUUUCACUUCUGAUAUACUCAGUUGCUAUUUGGGUGAGAGGCUUACUGGCCCAGAUAAAAAAAGAAAUUGGUGGUCUAGAGAACAGCUGAUAAUAUUAUGAAAUGGAAGGCAAAAAAGAUGGGAAGGGUUUGUGGGCCAAAAUAUACUCUUUAUAUUGUUCCAUUAUAUUUCAUUUAUUCUGCUUAUGUGGACAUUAAUUUGUUUGUUUUCCUUAGUCACUGAAUACACUGCAUUGCAUUAAACACAUAAAAAUCAAUGCCAGUUUUUUGAGAAAGAAUUUUUUUUAUUCUAAGAAUAAUUAAAUGGAAACAAUUGGAAUUCAUGCUGGCUAAUACAAGUAUUUUGUGUUUUGUUCCCCCUGGUCCUGAGCAAUUAAUAUAAUAUAUAAAUUUCCUCUUCUUUUUGACCAUUCUUCAACAUUUGUUAUAAUAUUUUCUGAAUUCUUAAUAUUAAAUCUGUUGCAUUAUCUUUUUUUUAAAUAUAUUUUUGCAAUCUUCUUAGGAAGUAAAAUUUUUUCCUAUCUCAUUUUGUGAAGUAUGCUUUUUAGAGCCCUCUAAGUCUGCGGAAAGGUUGGUUCAUUUUAAAUUCUGGGAAUAAAAUCCUGACAGUAAUUCAGGUAGAGUCUGGCAGAAUUACAUUAAACUAUAAAACAUAUUCCUCAACACUUUUUUUUUUUUUUUUUUUUUGUGUACUGAAAAUUUCUACAGGCUACCCAAACCUUUGAAGCUAACCAAAGGCUUUUUAACAUUUUUCUACUUCUGGGAGGGUUCUCUUAAAAAUAGCAUCAGCUGUUGAAAUGAACAGAGUAUUAAACCCACCAUCUUAAGUUUUAUGGUGUUUAUAUCACUUGAUUUAUAUCUUUUUUAUUAGAAAAUAUGAGAUGAACAGGGUAAAAACUGUCAUCUGUUCUGAAAAAAUAAUGGGUCUCCAAACUCAAGUGGAGAGAACCAUAAAGGCUGAUUUCAAGUUCCUGUUAGACAUUUUCACUUGACUUGAGAAAAGGUUCAGCCUGACAUAGAAACGCAGUCUACAUGGUAUGCUGAGAGACUUAAAGGACAUAAUUGUGAAUGUAUUUUAUGGAAAAAGGAUUAAAAAUGCUAUGCAUAUCUAAUUCACAGAACAGGCAAGGACAAUUGCCCACUCACAAUUAUGUAACAGUUUUGUGUCAGGCACUCAAGAAUGGUAAAUAAAAACAAGCAAAAAGUAUUUUUAACACGUAACUGAUAUUUUUAAUAGACUCAUUUUAAUUUAUUGUGGUUGUCUAUAUGAUGUAAAAUAGAUUUGUGAUGAGAUGUUUGGUUAAGCAUGGGGAAGAAAUUUAUCAUUUGAUCUUGCACGUAGAUGGAAUACAUUACUCUGAGAAAAAAAAAGGGCAUCUCAGAGCUUGAGUAUUUUGUAGCCUGACUUUCUAUUUUAGUUCUCUAUAGCUAAGACAUUAUUAUUAUUACCUAAGUAUUAUUCAGUUAGCAAAAAAUACCUUGUGUUCAAUAGUAAAACCUGAGGAAAGGAAACAGUAAUUUUCUAAUAUCAGGGAAAACUAAACAGUCUUUAGAAAAGUUAUUCAAUAUUCCAUAAACUCAAGAACAUUUUCUCAUCUUUAUGCAAAUUGUAUAGUAUCUGUAUGAAUCAGCAAGUGAUCUCCUUUGUUCCUCAAGUAAUAGGUCAAUUAUGGCUAAGCAACUGUGAUUGCAAGACCAUAGCAAAAGUUUUGGCAGCUUGGCUCUAGGCAUUUUUAUGUAAAAUUAUUAUUGCUGCUAUAAAGUCUUAAUUUAAUAAGAUGGAAAAUAAUAACAAAAUGGAAGAUCUGCGGCUCAUCAAAAGCUAUUUUAUGUGCUACUGAAAAAGGGCAUUUCACCCAGCUGAACAGAGAAUUUCUUCAAAGUGUGAGCAGAAAUGGACUUCAAGGACACCUUUCAUUUUCUCCCAUUUUCCUUUUUUGUUUUUUGGUGUUUUUUUUUUUUUUUUGUUUUCAUUUUCAGUUUGCCAAAGGCUGCUGUCAUCACUAAUAUAAUUAUUUCUAAAUCAUUUGAUCUGUCAAGUUGGACCAGACAGGGCGUUUCUAUUUCUACACUCUUAUUUUGUAUUUUGGAACAUUUGGCACAGCUAAUCAGGGUGAUUGAUUGAAAUAUGGUAGGGGAAGGUAGCUAAAAAUAAUGCCAGAGCACUAGUAUUUUUUUGAGAUGACCUAUAUCCAGUCUCUAGAAAACACUUUAUAGACACAAGAUCAAUAUUUUAUUAGCAAUGACUAAUAAUUCAUGGUGAUGUAAUAUGUUAUGAGAGGAAGCCAUUUCCUGAUAUCUGAUAGCUGGAUAUAAAUGUAGCAACCCCUACAGAUAAUUAUCUCGCUUCUAUACAUUUCAGAAAAAAAACCCCAAACAACCCAAAUAAACAUAUUUUAAUAUUUAGGUAAAAUGAUAGUUUAAGUGAACUACUUCAGGUUUAUUAUGUUCUGCUUGAAACACCUUUUUGCCCAUUAUCUUGAAACCAAUGAUACAAGAGAGAAUUAAGCAGUGCUUGAUUUAUGAAGUUAUAUUAAGUUUAUAGUAAGAAAUGUGUAGUAAUAAAAUUUCUAUGACUAGCUUUAACUGGAUCUUUUUCUUCAAUAGAAGGAUCUUUCAAGCAAGUCAAGGAAGAGGUAUCACAUUGGCUGUGUGGGUGUUUGCCAUGUGGAACACAGAUUCUUACUAGACAGAACCCCAAAUGAGAAAAAUCUCCAAGGUUUCUACUGGCAUGUUUAUGUACCUGCAGUGAUUUCCCUUUUUGGCUUGUGUUGACAGCUUUAAAGGAUUGUUUUGUCUGGAGUGUCUCUCUGUUUUUUUUUUUUUAUUAAGUCUUUUUACAAGUUUCUAACUCUAGCAUUAAGAAUGUCAGUCUUAAGGCUUAUGAUUUAGAUAAUUUUCUUAUUAUUAAGUAGGCCAUAUGACAAAUCUACAUAUAUUUCUCUGUCUACAGCUUUGACUACUCUCAUUUUUGGUACAUUAAUCUUCUCUCUAUCUCAUUCCUCAGCUAUUACCUAAUAAAGUAAAAAGUUAGAAAGGAAUACACCAGAACAGUGAAUGGAAAAAAUCAGAAGCAUGGUUUAAUUCAUGUAAGCUUACUAUUCAAAUAUUGUGAAAGUGCUUGUAGUAAACCCGCUUUAUAUGAUCACAAAAUAGGUGUCUGGAAAUGAGAGCCACAGUGAGCUGACUUCCUUUAUAGAAAAGAAAAAAAAAGCAAGAGGAACUUUUGGGUUUUGGUUCAUUUAGUUUGGUUUAGAUAUCUACUUUAGAAUAAGAAGAAUCAUGCCCUUGACUCCAGUAAGUAUAUUGACCACAUCUUUAUGGAUGGUAUAGACAGAUUAGGAUCUCAAACAUAGAUUUAGAUCUGAAAAUCCACAGAGUGAAAUUUUUAUUCUCAUUUGUAACUUGAAGGCAAGAAGAAAAAAAGGAAAUAGUAAAAUAUAUGUCCAUCUGACAUAUCCUAUGAAAAGUAUCUCUCCAAAAAAGAGAAUUACAUUCUCUUUAUAUAGAUAUAUGUACAUGUAUAUCCAAUAAUAGGCAUUCAAAAAUUUGCAACAAGAAAUUUAAAGUUCUGUGUCUUUUCUUGUUAAUUUUCCAAUUAUAUGAUCUGAUGAGAACUGCGAUAAUGUGAUGAGUCAAAAGCAGCAGAGAGCUGGCUAAUAGAGACACUGAAUACAUCUUCAAACUUACUGAUGUAAGUCAAAACUUACUGUUUUACUGAUGCUGUGUGGUGCUUCUUCUUAAUCAUCAGUUAACUUGGCAGCCUAACUCUCAGAGGCAAAGAACUCUGAACACCUGCAUGACAUCAUAAAGGUGGUAUGAUAUUUAGUGAUAUCUCAAUUAUUAAAGUGCUCAUCAUCACAAUGUAAUUUUUUUAAACGCAAUUUUUUUCUCAUUUUCACAGCUUUUCUUCAGUGGAAGAGACUUGAAUUGUAAUGUCAGGAUAGAGGCAUGGGGAAGAAGAAUCAGUUGAGGAUAAGAGAAUGAAGUCAUAUUUGCCUAACUCAGAAACCUCAUGUUGAAGAGCUCACAUCAAGGGUUAGAAAGAAUUUCCUGGUUUUGUGGUAAAAAAAUGUUCAUAAUAACAGUUCUAAUCAUUUUUAUAGUAAGCCCUAUAGUAAAAGAAACAGUAUUUUGAUUUUAAUUUUGCAUUCCACAAAAGCUAUUUUUAUUAGUUUAAGAAGAAGGUAUUCACACAUUAAAGAAAAGGCAGUAUAAUGGACUGUAUCCUCUCACAGGUAGACAGGAUAUUUUAUAGAAAACACUUUUUUCACACAUGAAGAAAUCCUCUUUUGAACAAAGACAAGGUGUAAAACCUCUAGGCUGAAUGUCAGCUAUUUGAGGAAUUUAUUGAGAUCAUCAUAGACACUUCUACACUCAAUGCUUGCUUCCAUGUGCAACAGCUUUUUUUUUUUUUCAGUCUAAAAAUGAAGGAUUAAAGAGGCAGAGAGAAAAGAGGAAAACAGUACAAAAUCAAGCAUUUUGCCAAUAGUCUGCUAGAAUGUGGUCGGAUACCCCGAUAGUCCUUGUGGCUGCAAAGAUGUGUGCAGGAUAUGCACAGCUCACGGGGGACUGAGAGGGGGUUUGGUUGCAACACAGACUUUACAUUAUUCAAGAAGAUUCUCAAGUUCUGUAAGUGGAUAUUCAUAGCACCUAUGUUCUAUCUAGUUAUCUGGCAUUACAUGAAUGGUCCUAUGUGUUUUAAAUAAGCAUAUUUUAAGGCUAAAGAAAGCUCGUUCCUCUCUGGCAGUACAGUAUUAACACAGUUUCUAAGGAAAAAAAAACUAAAAAAUAUAUUUCCCACUUCUACUGAAUUUUGGCUCCAAUUUUCAAACAGGGAGUGCAGAAGCCUGUCAUACUCCUUGUAAAGUAUUGACCAAAGCAAAAUUACUACCUUGUAUAGGAACCCAGAACAAAAUUCAUGCUAUGGAGUUAUAUCAGUUAUGAUGGGGUUUUUUUUCCAUAAAAAUUCAAGUCAGUUAAUGCAUAUUGAGAAUACAAAAAAAAAAAAAAAAAAAGAAGAAACUUAAUAGUGUGUUUAAUUUAGGAAUGUUUUAGUCUUACAGUGACUAAAAUAUCAAUAAUUAUCUAGUCUUCAAUCAGUUCCAUUAAGUGUUCACAGAAUAGAGCAUUAGGGCCACUUAAUGUUAAUGCUAACUUUAUAAUCAUCUAGGAACAAAUAUUUCAAAACAGCCCAUAAGUUUCAAUAAAAUCAGCAACUACAAAAAAAAAAAAAGGAAAAAUUAUGGUAUAUGGAAAUAGAAAAUGUGCUGCAUGCCAGAUACCCACAAAAGCUACUCACGCUCUCCUCUCUGCAGCUGGACAGAGGAGAAAAAAGGUUGAGAUAAGGUUGGGAGAAUCCACUUAUCAAAUGUUGUCACAGGCAAAACAGGCUCAGUUUAGAGGGAUGAGUUGAAUUUAUCAAUAACAUAAUGACAUCAGGAUAAUAAGUAAAAUAAGUGCUUAAAAAACACCCUUCCCCCCCCCCCUUCCUUCCCAGCUGUCUCCUCCCCCAGUGGUGCAGGGAUUGGGGUUAUGCUCAGUUCAUCACCCGUGGUUUUUCCUUCUGCUCAGGGAGACAAGUCAUUCCCCUGCUGCCAUUGGGUCCCUCCCAUGGAAGACAGGUCUCCAUUAACUUCUCCAGCCUUGGAUCCAUCUCAAGAGCUACAGCUCUCCACAAACUGCUGUGGUGUGGAUCACUCUUCCAUAGGGUGCAGUCUUUCAAGGACAGGCUGCUCCAUUAGGGGAGCAGAUCCCCUCUCUCCUGUGGCUCACAACCUCCUCCAGGUAUCCAGUUGCUCCAUCGUCAACUCCUCCUCCAUGGGCUGGGGGUGAAUCUCUGCAUCCCCACGGACCUCCUCUGCCUGCAGGGGCACAGCUGCUUCACCAUGGUCUGCACCACGAGCUGCAGAGGGAUCUCAGCUCCAGGGGCUGGGGCACCUCCUUUUCCCCUUUUUCCACUGACCUUUGUGCCUGCAUGGUUGUUCUUUUCCCAUGUUCUCUCUCUGCUCUUCUCUAGUCACAAUUACAACUGCACAAUCACUCUUUGUUUAGAUUUCUUCUAAAAUGUGUUAUCACAGAGGUAUUGCCACCAUUUCUAAUUGACAUUUCUGUCUAUGGAACCACCAGGGAUUGGCUCUGCUGGACACCGAGGAAGCUUCUAGUAAUUUCUCAUGGGAGCCAUCCCUGUAACUGCCCCAUUACCAAAACCCAAAGCCACGCAAACCUAAUACAUCAGGAUAUAAAGUCACUUUAAUAAAUGACAUAUGUUUUGGAACUUGGGUGGUAAUGUCACCUUUAAUGAAAUACAAAUGCUACUGAAAGCACAUACUGUAAUCAUAGAAUCCUUUUCUUACGGUUUGGUCUGACUCAACUGAAGCAUCAAAGUCAAGACAAUUUGACAGUAACCAGAUACCAGGAUACAAGUUUAUAGCCACCAUUCAUGAAAUGAUUGACUUGGAAUUUCCAGGUGAAGAAUUCUGUGUCCAGGUUUCAUUUGUGAUUAUCUUGAUGGUUGGAUAAAAAAAGUGGUGUCAAUCUCUCUGGAAUUUAUUCACUUCCAUACUUAGAUAAAUCUUCAUAUACUAGAUGUCUGGAACUAAUGCGAUUGCCCUGUAAACUCAAAAUUUAUACUUCUGUCUAGUAAUCACAAACGAUAAUAUUACAAGGAAAAAAUCUAAAAGAGAUGUUAAAAAUCUUCUCUUCAAUACAGUUCCUCUAAACACUCAAGGGAAAGAUUAUUAUUUUAAUUUUCUGGGAAUAGAGUAUAAUCUAGAAAUCAAUUUUUAGUCAGUCUCUUGGCUCACAUUAGAUGUAGAACAAAUGUUAUUUUAAACAUAAUCUGCAACACUUAAUUGCAAGUCCCUGUUCUGCCAGAUAUUUAACCUUUUUUACAUUUAUUAACAUUGUUCCUGAGAGGUCUAUGCAACUUGCAAUCUCUCCAUUAUCUAAAAGGAAAUCAGUAAGACAAGUUUUGAUUAUUUUCUUUUAAAUAUUAUGAAAUAUUUUGCAAGAAUAUAGUGAAGCAAAUGGGGAAUAUUACCUAACAAUUCUGAUACAUUUUGAAAAAGGAUAUGUUAAAGAAAAUGAGCUUGUAAAGAAUUCUGUUUUGAUGGGAUGUCAUAAUAACAUUUCUUAAGUAGUUCUUUCUCUUUCUCUCUCUCUUGUUCAGUUGUACUUUAUUUUUAAUUAAUUAGAAGGCAGAAAAUUCUACCAGAGCUUUAAUAUUAAAAUUAAGUAUUUAUAAUCUGGUAAUGUCCUCAGGCAGAUCCAUCUGUAGGUCCAAUUACUUUGUACUUAAAUAAUACGUCCUGAAAAAUAUGGAUGAAGGAUUUAAUUUAUACAUAUCAAAAAACAUUCAUUGAGCCCAAAAGGAUACUAAUAAAUCUUAUCUUUCUGAGUGUGGGACUAAUGAUUGUCUUAUUGAUUUCUACUUAACAGAAUCAAUCAUACUUUCAAGAGAUUCCCCAACAUUCCUUUUGGAUGCAUAGAUAAAUUCAGGAAUCCUGACUGUGUAAUUAAACUGUGUAUAUCAAUACCUUUUCUUUAAAGUCAUGAUACUAAAAAUACUGAAAGGCCUCUGAACUGCUGACAUUACAUUUUUUUUUAAGGAUGUACUACAAUACAAUGACUUCUGUGGAACAGACGCUCAGAUCAAGUUGGUCAGAUCAAAUCAAAAUGAAAAGAGUAUUAGAAGUCCUCACUGCUCACUGUUUUAUCUCAGAGAGUGGGAAGAGGAGAUAACACAAUGUUGAAGGUAGAAAAUACUGAAGACGGACUCUAUGUGUCUCAAUCUCCAAGAAGAUCCAGGAGAAGACAGAAAGAAAGUGCAUGAAUCCAGUAAUGGACCCAGGACAGAGAGUAAAAGGGAGUAUCCUGAGGCAAAAAGCUUGGAAAAAAAGGUGAGAAUAGCUGAGUGGAACAAGGCUUAGAUGGGAAAAUAAGUUAAAAUAUAUGCUAAGAGUAGGUCAGUGUGGUGUCAAGUAGAUUUUACAGGAGUUUGAAUAAGCUUUAGAAGCUGAAAGAGUGCACCUGUGUGUGUGUGUAGAAUAACACAGAAACUGGGAGAUGCAAUCUGGAAGGAAUUUAAGAGAGAAAUACACUGAACAAUGACUUAUUGGUAACUUAAAGGGAAAAAAAAAAGAAAAAAAACAAACAAAAAAAACCAACCCAUCUCUAUUUCAAUGUAGCACAUUUUUUAAGGUUUAUUGUAGGGAAUAAGUUCUCCACCUUCAAACAUCCACAAAAAUCACUCCAGGUAUAAAUUCCAAAUACAUGCUAGCUAUCUUGUCUCAGUAUGAAGACUAUCAUUCACAAGGUGACUCAACUGACAUGUCUAUACAUGCAUAUCUGUGCAAUUUGAAAAUCUGAAGGGUAUUUGGCAGUCUUACAAGUGACUGACAGAUAUGAGAAAGGAUAUGCAAAGGGAUAUGUGUUCUCCUGAAACAGCAAAAGCAGACCAAAGAGGAAAACCUCAUCAUCACACAUUCAUCAGUGGACACUUACAGUUUCAGUCAUCUGCAUCCUGCUGAAGAGAUGCUCCAUUCAAUUAUUCAGUUGUUAGGAAGAGCUAACAGCUCUGCAGCUUUCCCCUGUAUAAGUGAGGGUGGGGCACAGCCUUCUAUAUGAAGUGUCUAAUGACAUUGAGAUACACUUGUAAAUCCAUCCUGGAUUCCAGAUGCCAAUGCAGACAAGCCUAUGACUUCCAGGGAUAUGUCUCAUGAGCUGAGACCUCAUGCUGCCUGAGAUAUUUCAGACCUGUAAGAUACUUAAGACCUGUGUUUAGUAAUCACAGUCAGUUACCAAAGCUCCACUGAGCUGGACUUUUAAAAUUAGUUCCAAGCAGUGGAUUAGAUCUGCACUUUUAUGUACAUGUGAAAUUAAUGCUAUUUCAGAUUCCAGAGACCAGUCCAUUCUUCACAACCCUUGUUGCCAAAAGGCAUAGCCAAAGCUUGUAUUUAAGUGUCUUUUUUUUUUUUUCCUCUAAGCUGUUAGAAUGCAGCUCAGUGGUUUGGAUUUUUUAAAUAUGAAAAAUCAGAUCAUGUCUCUCAAAAGAAAUUCUAAAGCAGAGGAUAAUAUAUCUGGGCCUUUGUUUCUUGCAUGCACAUUGGAGAGAGUAAAGUGUACUUAUCUCAGGAUGCCAUUACCAUGCAUUCAUUAGUGUUUAAUGUUGCAUAUUAUAGUAAAGGGGACAUGGAAAAAUUCCAGUAGGAAUUAUUCCUGUUUUCUGAAUCUGCUUUGAAUAUUGUGCCAUAAAUAAGGCAUAUGUUUAUCGGGGAAAAGAAAGGAAGUUAUUGAGUUGUUGCAUUCUAAGUAAGCACGGCUGGUUCCAUAUACAAAAUGAUGCUGACAGCUUCUAAGAAAAGCAUAUGAGGGGAUCUCAUUACAGACCAUAUGUACAUGGAGGGAUCAAAUUAAUGUUGUAAACAGAACUUUAAUUUUAACUUCUUUACUUUUGAGAGUGAUUGACUUUCUAACACAUAAAAAGAGUCUUUUGACCUGACUUUUGUAAGUCUCUAAUGUUACUUAAUUUAAACUGGGCUGCUAAAGUCUGUUUUAGAAACCCACAACUACAUAGAUUAACUCUGGCUGUGUCACAAGCAACACUCCUACAUUAUUUAAAAUUGUUUAAUGUACAAAAAUUGCAGAAAUUGGUCUUUUCGUAUUUUCUUCUGACACUAAUGGACUGAAAGACAUCUUUUGAAGUUCAUGUUUAUAGCAAAAUUAUCUGCUCUUAGCCAUCCAGUUCUAAUGCCCUAUUAGAAAUUCAAAGGUCCUACAAGUUUCUUCAACUCAGCAGACAAGUCCCUUUUAUGUACUGAACUUCUUGAUGUUGCAGGACACCUCCUGACAGCAAAUUCUUUUGUACCACUGCUCUUGUCAUCCUCUUCCCAUUCACACUGGCCAUAAAAAUCUCUCAGUCCUGCAGGCACAUUUUAAAAAUUUAAUAAAAAGCCAAUGUGUAAUUUCAGUCAACCUCAAAUGCAAUGACCUAAAGGCUCUCGGGUUCAUUGAAAGGCAUUGAUUGUCCAUUCACCUUCUUUUUAUUUUUUCAAGGUAAGGUGAUGUCCAGAGCCAGUCUGCCAAGGGUUCCUACCAGCUUCUUUACUGAAUUGCCUAAAAAUCACACAAAAGCAUGUGAUGUUUUUUUAUCUUGAGGAAGAAGUAUGAUUUGGGUGUAGUCACUGUCAGAUAAUUCUUUGCCUUUGACUGAGAACACCACCUACAAACCCCAAGAGAAAUUGAAAAUAGAUACAAAUGUAAAUCUCAUGCUUUUAAGAAGAACAAUGAUUAAAGGCUUUUACCUCUUCCUAAAGCUAAAAUAAUAGCUAAAUCAGUGUCAGAAUCAUGAAAAAGUUGUAGAAUUCUUGGAAUAAUUCACACAAUGUGAGAAUAAGCACAAGUAUUAUGAUAACAGCAUGAUGAUAAAUAAACAGAUGCAAUAAAAAUCACCAGUCAUACACUGUUUUUAGAACUAUUAUUAUCAGAAUUCAUGCAAAACAUUUGUUAAAACAAAUUUAACAUUAGCAGUGAGGAUUGGGAAUGAUUAAAUAAAAGACAGAAUGUAGACAAGUCAAUCUCAUGGUGUUAGUAUUCAUCAUCAGUAAUGCUAACUUUUAUUGCUACUCAAUAAAAUAAAAAUACUAUGGACCCCAAAUCAGAAGUUUUAAAAUGUUUCUUACUAGAAAAGCUUACCUAACAUUCAUGGUCUUUAAUUUCUGUUAAUAAAUAGAUGAAGAACAGGGUAUAAAUUUUAAUAUGGAUAAUUUCUCCAACUGUGUACCUUCUGCAGAUAUGUGUAUGUAUAUAUUCUAUUUUUCUGACUGAGAGUAUAUAUGUGUAUUUAUAUAUUCUAUUUUUCUGACUGAGAGUAUAUGACUGUAAAUUAUUACACUACCUUUGCAUCUACAAUCCCCAUUUGAGACUGACAUGCUAGUUGGUUAACUGCUAUACAAAUUUAAAAUCAAUAUUUUGUCCAAAGCAUAUAUGUCAAAAAAAUUCUGAGAGAAUGAUGGUUUAAACUUUUGGAUACAAUAUCUAGUAAUUAGUGUAAUAAAACCAACUAAAAUGAUUUAUUAAUUGUAUUUGGUAAAGAAAAAAUAUUUGUUCCCUGUGUGUUUUCAUUGGUAAUGAGAAAUAAAGAAAGAGUUUGGGGAAAAAAAAAGAGGCAUAUAUCAGCAUACAUCUGCAGCCUACUAUAUAAACAAAAUGAAUUCCACUAACUUCUGUUUUGGAACAUGGAGCAGCUAACAUAGGCUAAUGUGAUUAGAAUGAACAUGGUUAUUAUAGAUAUCAGAUAAUAUCCCACUGAUUAAAUUUGCUGAAACCAAUUAUAAUUAAGAACCAUACAGACUUUUCUAAUGGGCAUAAUUAGGCUAAACAGACUAAUAAAUAAAUAGAUAAAUAAAAGCAAUGCUAAGAUUUGCUUUUAAUAGCACCAAAAAUGAAAGUGUUUUUAAUUGUAAGUUCCUGCUGGUUUUGAAAAUUUUGGAUAUCUCAGUUUUCCUUAAAGUGGGAUGUCUUCUAAUUUGUGUUCUUAUUCGUGUUAGUUUCAUAUCUUAAUUCUCUUCAUCCUUUAUGAAGAAAAUUUUCUACUAGCUGCUUUUCAAUAUUAGCAAGGAGUAUAUGUUAGUGAAAAACUGCUACAAACUGGGAAGACCAGUUAUGUCCUUUAUUGUCACUGGUGACUGAAAUCACAAAAGAGAAUUAAAACAAAUCCUAAUUAUUUUUUUCCUACAACCAUUUUUUUUUUUGCAUGUUGUUUCACUGAACUGACUGCAGCUCCUCAGUGAAUAUGAAGAAGUCUGGAGAGUUUAGGGUUAAGUUAGUAUCUGCAUUGAGUUUGUCUGGCCAGAUUUUCAUAGCUGGGGGGCUAUAGGGUGGGUUCUAUGUGAAGUUACCUAAAGCUUCCACCAUGACCUGCAGAACCCUGUCAGCUCCAAGAUGGAUGUCCUACUGGACAAGGCUGGGCCAAAUGAAAAAGACAGUAACUCUGCUGUGAUAACACAUUUAAGAAGAAAAAAAUGUUAUUGAGCAGAUGUAAUCUUGGCCAGAGAAGAUCAGAGUAAGAAUGUGCAAGAGGAACAACUCUGCAGACAGCAAGGUUGGUGAAGGAAGGACGGGAGAUGCUCCAGGUUCCAGAGCAGAGAUUUCCCCUUCCAGGCUGCUGUCCCCUGCAGCCCCUGGUGCAGACCAUGGUGAAGCAGCUGUGCUUCUGCAGCCCAUGGAGGACCAUGGGGAUGCAGAGAUCCAUCUGCAGGUCAUGGAGGAAACCCAUGCCAGAGAAGGUGGGUGCCCGAGAGGAGGCUGUGAUCCUGUGGGAGGCCCGUACUGAAAAAGGCUCCUGGCAGGGACUUGCAGGCAUGGGGAGAUAGAAGCCCAAGCUGGAGUGGUUUUCUGGUAGGACUUGAGACUCCAUGGAGGGUUCAUGCUGGAGAAGCCUGUCCUUAAAGAGCUUUACUCUAAAGUGUGACCCCACUGCAGAGAAUUGAGAAUAGACUCACUCUGCAGGAGGUUGCAGAGAGUAGUUGCUCUGAGAUGGACUCCCAUAGGAGAAGUCCAUGGAGGACUCUCUCCUGUGGGAGGAAUCCCACACUGGAGCAAGGCAACUAUUCCUCUCUGAGCAGCGGCAGGAGCAACAGGUGAUGAAUUGACCAAAACCCCCAUUCCCUGUCUCUCUGAGCUAAUGGGGGAAGAGGUAGAGCUGGGAAGGAGGGAGAGGUUGGGGGGAAGGUGUUUUUAAUGUCUUUACUUCUUAUUAUCCUGUUCUUAUUUUGUAAGCAAUAAAUUCACUCCAUAGCUCUAAUUUGAGCGUGUUUUGUCUGUGAUGAUAUUUGAUGAAUGAUUUCUCCUGGUCCUUAUCUCAACUUGUGAAAUUUUUGUUAUUUUCUCUCCCCUAUCCAGCUGUGGAGAGGAGUGAGAGAGAGGUGGAUGAGUGCCUGAUGUCCAACCAGGGUCAACCCACUACAUCAUCUCUUAUUAUCUUCUAUAAAUGUAAUUGGUACAAUAAUUGAAGUAGCAUGAAAUGAGGAAAGGAGGCAUGAGAGCUAACCAAGGGUUUACCCACACCAUGUAUGAUGUCCUGCUCAGGAAGAAAGUCUGGGGAUAGUGGGGACGUUUGGAGCUAUGGUCUUUGUUAGUACAGAUUGCCAUUAUUCAUGAAGGAGUCUUGGUUUACUGAAAAUGGAUGAACGCCUGCCUGCUGAUGGAACCACAAGCAGAUGGCUAAGAAAGAACAAUGAUGAGACAAGCAAAUAUUGUUGGGAUCAUUCUUCCUGUCUCAUAUCAAGCCAACAGCAUCAUGGGCUGCAGAUCAAGGGAGGUGACUCUUCCUCUCUCCUCUGUUCUUGUGAGACCUCCUUUGAAAUACCCUGUUUAUCUCUGUGAUUCCCAGCAUAAGAAAGGCAUAGACCUGCUCAGUCAGGUCCAGAGGAGGAAGACAUGAAGAUGACCAGAAGGCUGAAGAUGACCAGAGGGCACAUUCUCCUAAGAAUUGGGGUUGCUCAGCCUGGGGAAGAGAAGAUUCCAGGGAGACCUUACAGCAGCCUUACCGUAUUUAAAGAACACCUAAAGGAUAUAUGGGAAGGGACUUUUUAUCUGGGAGUGUAGUAAUAGGAUAAUGGGGGAUGGUUUUAAAAUGAAAGAAGGAAGGUUUAAAUUAGAUGUUAGGAGUAAAUUCUUUGCUAUGGGCCUGGUGAGAUACUGGAACAACUUGCCCAGAGUUGUGGAUGCCCCACUCCUAGAAGUGCUUGUGGCUAGUUUGGAUGGAGCUUUGAGCAAUCUGAUGUACUGGAAGGUGUUCCUGCCCAUGGCAGGUGGGUUGGAAUGGGUUGAGAUUUCUUCCAAUGUAAAUCAUUCUACAGUUUUAUGAUUCUACAUACCAUUAUAAGGAUUGAGUAAUUUUUUAGUUAUCUGCUUGAAUUCUUUUGACAAUUCAGUAAAUUGAAUCCUUCAAAAGUACAUAAGGACAGUUCCUUUAACACCUACUAACUUCUAAGGAUACAUUUUAUUCUUUGAUUGUUUAGUAUUCCUUUCCAAUCUGAAAAUUAAUGAAUUAAAUGUAUAGCUG